CUUCUUAAUUAACCACAAAGCAAUUAAAGCCGAACACCUGGAGCGCGCGCGCCUUUACGCAUACAGCGGUGUCUUUAAUCUCCCGCAGUAUUAAAGUGUGAUGAAGAACCUCUCCGUGCCGCGGGGUUCCGUUACUAACGGAGUUACAGCCGCAACAUCCGCUUAAGACGCUUCAGAAACUUACCUGUGAUCAGCAGCGCGAGGCUGGAGCCCAGAAUUCAUGCAGAACCGUAGAACCCGAGUAAGGAUCAGAAGGAAGGAAGAGGGAGAUGAGACGUGAAAGCUGGAAGCGGCGGAGCUCGUGCGUAUGUGUGAAACUCUCCGGUGUGUGAAUGCGCUCUGAAAGCUGAGUCCCUCACCGCCGCACUGCGCGCGACACCGGCCACCGGUAACCAGGCCUUCAGUCUCCUGACCAGCAGGGAUGGACCCGGACCAGUGGACACCCAGGUGUUCGGGCAACUAGGAGGCACUGAGGAGAUCAGAUUUACAGACUGACUGAUCGUUACUCCAUACUAGAGUUAACAGGGUGAAGUUCAUCUGGAGGAUUAAAAGCAUCAUCCAAUAGACACAUCAGAGCCAAAACGUCUACACGAGAGGGUCAGCGUUGGUCAUCAGUAACUGCAGCACCGUACACAGGGAUGUGAUUUGAGACCCAGUGCUAAUGUGCUUUGGAUGAAGCAUCACAAGGUUCAACUGAUCACUGAUUAUAUUGUUAGUUAUUCUGUGUUUUUCUUCUGCACAAAGAUUUAAAGUGAGAUCUGAGGGAUAAACUGUACUGACUGGAAAACAGGGGGGCACUUAUUUUUGCACACAUAUUAAUAAAAGUGAGGGCAAGUGUGAGCUCCUGUUUCAGCUUUAUUUAUUUUAUAUGUUGCACAGAGUUUAAAAACAGAAACAUUCUCUUUAGAGACACUGAACACAUCAUGGGGGGUUUGGGGGGUUAAAUACACCCACAUUAUA